CCUACGGGAGGCAGCAGUGAGGAAUAUUGCGCAAUGGGCGAAAGCCAGACGCAGCAACGCCGCGUGGGCGAUGAAGGUCUUCGGAUCGUAAAGCCCUUUUACGGAGGAAGAGGAAGGACAGUACUCCGGGAAUAAGUCUCGGCUAACUACGUGCCAGCAGCCGCGGUAAU
rnacentral:rRNA from 1 species